UAUCUCUGUAGAGUCUGCAUAUCAAUAAGCGGAGGAAAAGAAACUAACUAGGAUUCCCUCAGUAACGGCGAGUGAAGCGGGAAGAGCUCAAAUUUGAAAUCUUCAAGGUUCUACCUUGACGAAUUGUAGUUUAAAGAAGUGUUUUCUGUUGGAGUUUUGGCUAAAAGUUCUUUGGAAUAGGACAUCAUAGAGGGUGAGAAUCCCGUAUUUGACCAUUAUUUCCAGGCUUUGUGAUACACUUUCAAAGAGUCGGAUUGUUUGGGAAUGCAGUCCAAAAUGGGUGGUAAAUUUCAUCUAAAGCUAAAUAUUGGCGAGAGACCGAUAGCGAACAAGUACCGUGAGGGAAAGAUGAAAAGAACUUUGAAAAGAGAGUUAAACAGUACGUGAAAUUGUCAAAAGGGAAGCGUUUGACACCAGUGUUGUUUUCUCGAAAAUCAAUUAAAAAAGGCAGGAUUUUGUGUUGUAUUGACUUUAUCAGCUUUCUGCACUCUUUUCUUGUCUUUUUUAAUGCACUUUUCGUUUAACAAGUCAACAUCAAUUUCUUUUGUUGUAAAAGGGUCAUUGGAAGGUGGCUUUCUUUUCGGAGAAAGUGUUUAUAGCCUUUGGCCUCUGCAAUCGGAGAGAUUGAGGUCUGCAGCGUAGAUCCUUCGGGGUUAGAUACAUUUGUGCUAAGUUAUAGCCUUUCAUAGACAACUUGUUGACUAUGAUCAGUCAUGUAGCUUACUCGCUUAUGCUAUUUUACCUACGCUUAGGAUGUUGACGAUCAGCUGAGCGCG
rnacentral:rRNA from 1 species